rnacentral:rRNA from 1 species
UGCAGUCGAACGGAUCCUUCNNGGNUUAGUGGCAGACGGGUGAGUAACGCGUGGGAAGCUACCUUGUGGUAGGGGACAACAGUUGGAAACGACUGCUAAUACCCUAUGAGCCCUAUGGGGGAAAGAUUUAUCGCCAUGAGAUGUGCCCGCGUUAGNUUAGCUAGUUGGUAAGGUAAUGGCUUACCAAGGCGACGAUCUAUAGCUGGUCUGAGAGGAUGAUCAGCCACACUGGGACUGAGACACGGCCCAGACUCCUACGGGAGGCAGCAGUGGGGAAUAUUGGACAAUGGGGGCAACCCUGAUCCAGCCAUGCCGCGUGUGUGAUGACGGCCUUAGGGUUGUAAAGCACUUUCAGCAGUGAAGAUAAUGACAUUAACUGCNGAAGAAGCCCCGGCUAACUUCGUGCCAGCAGCCGCGGUAAUANNAAGGGGGCUAGCGUUGUUCGGAAUCACUGGGCGUAAAGAGUACGUAGGCGGACUGAUAAGUUAGGGGUGAAAUCCCAAGGCUCAACCUUGGAACUGCCUUUGAUACUGUCAGUCUUGAG